UACGUAGGGGGCAAGCGUUGUCCGGAUUUAUUGGGCGUAAAGAGCGUGUAGGCGGCCUGACAGGUCUGCUGUGAAAACUCGAGGCUCAACUUCGAGAUGUCGGCGGAAACCGUCUGGCUAGAGUCCGGAAGAGGAGAGUGGAAUUCCUGGUGUAGCGGUGAAAUGCGCAGAUAUCAGGAAGAACACCAGUGGCGAAGGCGGCUCUCUGGGACGGUACUGACGCUGAGGCGCGAAAGCGUGGGGAGCAAACAGG
rnacentral:rRNA from 1 species